GCCUGGGUGGCUCAGUCAGUUAAGCGUCUGACUUCGGCUCAGGUCAUGAUCUCACAGUCCGUGGGUUUGAGCCCUGCCUUGGGCU
rfam:Felis catus isolate Cinnamon breed Abyssinian chromosome E1, whole genome shotgun sequence.